AAUCAACGCUGGCGGCGUGCCUCAGACAUGCAAGUCGAACGCGAAAUCCCGAGCAAUCGGGAGAGUAGAGUGGCGCACGGGUGAGUAACACGUAGGUAAUCUACCUUCGGAUGGGGAAUAACAACCGGAAACGGUUGCUAAUACCGCAUAAUGCAGCGGCACCUAAUGGUGACAGUUGUUAAAGCGGGGGAGUCGAAAGACCUCGCGUCUGAAGAGGAGCCUGCGGCGGAUUAGCUAGUUGGUAAGGUAAUGGCUUACCAAGGCAACGAAUCCGUAACCGGCCUGAGAGGGCGGUCGGUCACACUGACACUGACAUACGGGU
rnacentral:rRNA from 1 species